UUUAUAAUUAAAAUAAUUAAUAAACAGAUAGGAUAAAAAAUUAUACAAAUCAUUAGAUUAUGACUGAACCAAUUGCUUUUUCAAUUGUAGGGAAUCAUGCCCUAUAUAUGUAGCUAGCAAUGUAGUAACGCUAGUGGACAGGGCAACAGGUUGGUAGUAUCUCUCAUCAGCCGAAUCUUGACCCUCUAUGGGUCCAUUCCAUCCAUUCAUGUAUGACCUAUCUGAGUGCCUCUUCCUACUCCUUCUGUGUUCAUGUCUAACCACCAUAAAGCAUGAUCUACGAAGAAUGGAAACAGAGAAAUUCAACCACCAAAGACAAACAGACAUGAAGGACGGGGAAAAAGAAAAGAAAGAAAGUGGAUUACUGCAAUUCAAAUUGAAGUGAAAUGGAGAUGGAGCUCAAUUAUUUCAAAAACGACGGAAAUCGUAAAAAGCUACACUUCUCUCUAUCUUAAAAUGCCUCCUUUACUUUUUGUAUGUACGAUUUGGCUCUUUUUUGUUGUUGUUGGUUAGUUUUGGGCCCACCUCUUCACUGAUAAUUAUUACGUAGUAUAUAAGCUCUUGUAAAAGGUUAAAUGACAAAUUGCACAGUGACAGCAGCAAUAUGUCCUUGCCGUAUAAUUCUUUCUUAGAAAU